rnacentral:rRNA from 1 species
UUGACGGGGGCCCGCACAAGCGGCGGAGCAUGCGGAUUAAUUCGAUGCAACGCGAAGAACCUUACCUGGGUUUGACAUGGAUUGGUAACGGUCAGAGAUGGCCGCCCCCCUUGUGGGCCGAUUCACAGGUGGUGCAUGGACUGUCGUCAGCUCGUGUCGUGAGAUGUUGGGUUAAGUCCCGCAACCGAGCGCAACCCUCGUCCACUGUUGCCAGCAAUUCGGUUGGGGACUCAGUGGAGACCGCCGGGGUCAACUCGGAGGAAGGUGGGGAUGACGUCAAGUCAUCAUGCCCCUUAUGUCCAGGCGCUUCACGCAUGCUAGCAAUGGCCGGUACAAAGAGUUGCGACACUGUGAGGUGGAGCGAAUCUCCAAAAAGCCGGUCUCAGUUCGGAUUGGGGUCUGCAACUCGACCCCAUGAAGUCGGAGUCGCUAGUAAUCGCAGAUCAGCAACGCUGCGGUGAAUACAGGC